rnacentral:misc_RNA from 1 species
CGGGUACUAGCAUAUAACCUUAUGUUCACCAUUUCUGGGUCACUACAACAUGUACAGGAGCUAUAGGAUAUGAAGGCUCCAGGAAACAGCAAAAUAACAACUUCAAAAAUAUUACUCCCCUAAUCUAACUACCUAUGUAGAUGUUGUUUAAUGGGUAAACUCGGUACUAGCGUUUUGAUGUCUUCGCUCCCAUCACGACACCAACAGUUUGCUUACAACUUCAGGGGGUCCCUUUAAACGGUGUAUGACUGCUGAAUUGUCUCAAUGUCGAGACCCUUCAACUUCACAACUGAUUCAACAUGACCUUUCAGUGUAUGCAACUCACGUAGCCUAGCAAUUUCAGCUCUCCUCUUCGCUUCCUCAGCCAACUGGUUAAGCUCAUUGAAAUUGGUAGUUUCGCUAAAUAUUUUGGGGUCUGGAACUUGGAGCCCAUGAAGGGUUCUCUGUGCAUGUGCCCAUUGAAGCUCGCGCAGUUCUUUUCCAAAAUCCUUCUUCCGGGUGAAAGCAAUCCUUUGCUCAAGAACAAGAUCCCAGGCCUUCCCACUGAGAGCAUAACGGAUGAGGAACUUGAUCAAAUCUAGUGGGAUAUAGGUAACAAUAUUGUAAAGCCAGAUAACUCCAGCCCAACCCCAGCCAAUUCCUUCAAUUGCAGCAAAGCUCCAAUUUGCAUAAACAGCAAUCAAGGUGGCAACCAGUUGAGCAACGAAAAAGGCAAACACUAGCAACAACCCAGGACGCUCCACAAACGACCAACUUCGAGAUCUUGUAACGAAUAUCAGGGCCUGACUGAUAGUGCUUACUUGAAGGUAUAUCGCAGAGGCGAGCUUCCUAAAAUCAUCAGUUGCUGUUUUCUCAAGUGUUGAUACCCCAAAUAUUCGCGGGAAGAAAUUUGUUUUGUAUGCGGCCCAAAAGAAAAUGACCGUCAUCAUUGCCAAGUAGCCACCAAGAACAACUCCAGUAGUAAAAAUCUCAGCCAGUUUCCAGCUAUCAGGCAGAGGAGAUGGUUUGACCCUAUCCUUCGAUAUCG